UGGAAGCCGCCACCGAGAGGUAC
rnacentral:piRNA from 1 species